AUGAAACAAAACCAAGUGAAAGGCUGCUGUGAAUGCUACAAGCAUGGAGGCUAUUGAAAAGAAUAAUGUGAUAAGACCGAUGCUCAACCUCAUUGGCAAGGCCUUGAGAAAAUCUUUUUCAGAAUAGCGUGAUGUGAGUAUUCCAAGAAACAUAAGCAAUGAGGUUGAGGAAGAAAAAAGUCCCAAGGCAUCUGAUACCGCAAAAAUCAUGAAAGAUGUUUCUUUUAAAUAAAUGGGGAUCCCUUGUUCGCUAUGGUUGCCGCCUGGUACAGUGAAAGCUGCUGCAAACACAACUGUGACCACAAGUGCAGCGACUGUUGCGCAUGAUGAAGCUGUAUCCUUCAUCCAUUUCUCACCUUUCCCAACUAGAUCCUUGUGUUCCUCAGUGAAAACCUCCCUCGGAAUUUUUCCAUCUUUAUUUUUUAUUUCCUUGUAUGAUGGUUGGACAACCUUUUCCACUUCCUUGAACCAUUGCAGCUCCCUUUGCAUUUGCA
rnacentral:misc_RNA from 1 species